rnacentral:rRNA from 2 species
UACAGAGGGUGCAAGCGUUAAUCGGAAUUACUGGGCGUAAAGCGCGUGCAGGUGGUUUUGCAAGUUUGAUGUGAAAGCCCCGGGCUUAACCUGGGAAUGGCAUUGAAGACGGUAAGACUAGAGUAGGACAGAGGAUCGUGGAAUUUCCGGUGUAGCGGUGAAAUGCGUAGAGAUCGGAAAGAACACCCGUGGCGAAGGCGGCGAUCUGGGUCCAAACUGACACUGAGGCGCGAAAGCAUGGGGAGCAAACAGG